rnacentral:rRNA from 1 species
UACGUAGGGUGCAAGCGUUGUCCGGAAUUAUUGGGCGUAAAGAGCUUGUAGGCGGUUUGUCGCGUCUGCUGUGAAAUUUCGGGGCUCAACCCCGAACUUGCAGUGGGUACGGGCAGACUAGAGUGUGGUAGGGGAGACUGGAAUUCCUGGUGUAGCGGUGAAAUGCGCAGAUAUCAGGAGGAACACCGAUGGCGAAGGCGGGUCUCUGGACAGUUCCUGACACUGAGGCACGAAGGCCAGGGGAGCAAACGGG